AGAGCAGUGAGCCCAGUCCUGAGUCCCGGAGAGAGCUCCAGCAAUAGGGGCCAUGUCGCCAUAGCCCCAGCCUCUCGGUCCGCAGCCUCAGCAGCGUCCCAGCCGGCUGGCUUCAUGCUGCGGUGCAGCUGCACCAUGUUCCUGGGUUGAGGGGGCAAUCGGGCACGCUCCUCCCCAUGGGUUGCCCAUCAUGUCUAAUGGAUAUCGCACUCUGUCCCAGCACCUCAAUGACCUGAAGAAGGAGAACUUCAGCCUCAAGCUGCGCAUCUACUUCCUGGAGGAGCGCAUGCAACAGAAGUAUGAGGCCAGCCGGGAGGACAUCUACAAGCGGAACACUGAGCUGAAGGUUGAAGUGGAGAGCUUGAAACGAGAACUCCAGGACAAGAAACAGCAUCUGGAUAAAACAUGGGCUGAUGUGGAGAAUCUCAACAGUCAGAAUGAAGCUGAGCUCCGACGCCAGUUUGAGGAGCGACAGCAGGAGACGGAGCAUGUUUAUGAGCUCUUGGAGAAUAAGAUGCAGCUUCUGCAGGAGGAAUCCAGGCUAGCAAAGAAUGAAGCUGCGCGGAUGGCAGCUCUGGUGGAAGCAGAGAAGGAGUGUAACCUGGAGCUCUCAGAGAAACUGAAGGGAGUCACCAAAAACUGGGAAGAUGUACCAGGAGACCAGGUCAAGCCCGACCAAUACACUGAGGCCCUGGCCCAGAGGGACAAGUAGGUGCCUUCGGUGCUCUUUUUGUCGCUUGUCUUUUGCCCAUUCUCAAGGCAUACAGCAGCUGUCCUGUUCCCUUUCAAGGACUGACAGUAGGAGCUUCACUAUUUCUAAGACUUUAUGGGCCCACAACCGAAGACAUUCUUUUCAGGGUUGAAUUUUCAGUGGUAUCCAUUAUGAAAACUCACUUCAUGGAUUCAGUGGGCAAAUAGCGGCAAGCAAGAGACAUGGAUUCACUUAUUCAGCAAACAUUUACUGGGCAUGCCACAUGCCAGAUACCGGGCUAAGUAUCUGGCAUGUGUUACAGAAACAAAAGACCUAAAUCUUGUCACCAAGAAACAUGUUACAUGAUUUUAAUAAGUUCCCUGAUAGAAGAGCAUGGGGUGCUCUGGGGAAAUAUUGGAGGGUCAUCCAUUCCACAUUAAAAGAGCAAGUUGUCUGCU
rnacentral:lncRNA from 1 species